rnacentral:rRNA from 1 species
CGCCUUGCCAGCCCGCUCAGAAACUUAAAGGAAUUGACGGGGGCCCGCACAAGCGGAGGAGCAUGUGGUUUAAUUCGAUGAUACGCGAGGAACCUUACCUGGGCUCGAACGUAAGAUGACUGUAGGUGAAAGCUUACAUCUCUUCGGAGCAUUUUACGAGGUGCUGCAUGGUUGUCGUCAGCUCGUGCCGUGAGGUGUCGGGUUAAGUCCCAUAACGAGCGCAACCCCUACCUUUAGUUGCCAUCAGGUAAUGCUGGGGACUCUAAAGGAACUGCCUACGCAAGUAGUGAGGAAGGCGGGGAUGACGUCAAACCAGCGCGGCCCUUACGUCCAGGGCUACACACGUGCUACAAUGGCCGAUACAGAGGGCAGCUACCUGGUGACAGGAUGCAAAUCUCCAAAGUCGGUCUCAGUUCGGAUCGGAGUCUGCAACCCGACUCCGUGAAGUUGGAUUCGCUAGUAAUCGCGCAUCAGCCAUGGCGCGGUGAAUACGUUCCCGGGCCUU